CGGCAGCUUUCAGGUCAGCAACCCAGCCUUCAAGUCAUCAGUCCUGCCAGCACAAAGGUUUAACCCACUGCGCCACCGGGGGAUCCAGGAUAAGGCUGCAAUAUCGUCACUUGUGGAAAAAACAAACUAAAUCUCCC
rnacentral:lncRNA from 11 species